UACGUAGGGGACUAGCGUUGUUCGGAAUUACUGGGCGUAAAGCGCACGUAGGCGGAUUUGUUAGUCAGGGGUGAAAUCCCGAGGCUCAACCUCGGAACUGCCUUUGAUACUGCAGAUCUCGAGUCCGGAAGAGGUGAGUGGAAUUCCUAGUGUAGAGGUGAAAUUCGUAGAUAUUAGGAAGAACACCAGUGGCGAAGGCGGCUCACUGGUCCGGUACUGACGCUGAGGUGCGAAAGCGUGGGUAGCAAACAGG
rnacentral:rRNA from 1 species